ACGCCGCGUGCGGGAUGAAGGCCUUCGGGUUGUAAACCGCUGUCGUAGAGGAGGAAAUGCGGUGGGGUCUCCCCAUCGUUUGACCUAUUCUAGGAGGAAGGACGGGCUAAGUUCGUGCCAGCAGCCGCGGUAAGACGAACCGUCCAAACGUUAUUCGGAAUUAUUGGGCUUAAAGAGUGCGUAGGCUGUGCAGUAAGUUGGGUGUGAAAUCCCUCGGCUCAACCGAGGAACUGCGCCGAAUACUGCUGUGCUAGAGGAAGAUAGGGGUAAGCGGAACUGAUGGUGGAGCGGUGAAAUGCGUUGAUAUCAUCAGGAACACCGGUGGCGAAGGCGGCUUACUGGAUCUUUUCUGACGCUGAUGCACGAAAGCUAGGGGAGCGAACGGGAUUAGAUACCCCGGUAGUCCUAGCUGUAAACGAUGAGCACUUGGUCGGAGGCUCCUCCAUAGGCUUCUGGCCGUAGCGAAAGUGUUAAGUGCUCCGCCUGGGGAGUAUGGUCGCAAGGCUG
rnacentral:rRNA from 1 species